rnacentral:rRNA from 1 species
CCUACGGGGGGCUGCAGUGGGGAAUAUUGCACAAUGGGCGCAAGCCUGAUGCAGCCAUGCCGCGUGUGUGAAGAAGGCCUUCGGGUUGUAAAGCACUUUCAGCGGGGAGGAAGGCGUUAAGGUUAAUAACCUUGUCGAUUGACGUUACCCGCAAAAGAAGCACCGGCUAACUCCGUGCCAGCAGCCGCGGUAAUACGGAGGGUGUAAGCGUUAAUCGGAAUUACUGGGCGUAAAGCGCACGCAGGCGGUCUGUCAAGUCGGAUGUGAAAUCCCCGGGCUCAACCUGGGAACUGCAUUCGAAACUUGCAGGCUAGAGUCUUGUAGAGGGGGGUAGAGUUCCAGGUGUAGCGGUGAAAUGCGUAGAGAUCUGGAGGAAUACCGGUGGCGAAGGCGGCCCCCUGGACAAAGACUGACGCUCAGGUGCGAGAGCGUGGGGAGCAGACAGGAUUAGAUACCCGGGUAGUC